GAUGAACGCUGGCGGCGUGCCUAAUACAUGCAAGUCGAGCGAACAGACGAGGAGCUUGCUCCUCUGACGUUAGCGGCGGACGGGUGAGUAACACGUGGAUAACCUACCUAUAAGACUGGGAUAACUUCGGGAAACCGGAGCUAAUACCGGAUAACAUGUUGAACCGCAUGGUUCAACAGUGAAAGACGGUUUUGCUGUCACUUAUAGAUGGAUCCGCGUCGCAUUUGCUAGUUGGUAAGGUAACGGCUUACCAAGGCAACGAUGCGUAGCCGACCUGAGAGGGUGAUAGGCCACACUGGAACUGAGACACGGUCCAGACUCCUACGGGAGGCAGCAGUAGGGAAUCUUCCGCAAUGGGCGAAAGCCUGACGGAGCAACGCCGCGUGAGUGAAGAAGGUCUUCGGAUCGUAAAACUCUGUUAUUAGGGAAGAACAAAUGUGUAAGUAACUAUGCACGUCUUGACGGUACCUAAUCAGAAAGCCACGGCUAACUACGUG
rnacentral:rRNA from 1 species